UACAGAGGGGGCCAGCGUUAUUCGGAAUUAUUGGGCGUAAAGGGCGCGUAGGCGGCUUUGCGUGUCUUUCGUGAAAUCCCCCGGCUCAACUGGGGAACUGCACAGGAAACUAGCGGGCUUGAGUUCGGGAGAGGGAAGCGGAAUUCCGGGUGUAGCGGUGAAAUGCGUAGAUAUCGGGAGGAACACCAGUGGCGAAGGCGACUUCCUGGCCUGUUCUUGACGCUGAGGCGCGAAAGCUAGGGGAGCAAACGGG
rnacentral:rRNA from 1 species